UACGUAGGGUGCAAGCGUUAAUCGGAAUUACUGGGCGUAAAGCGUGCGCAGGCGGUUUUGUAAGUCUGACGUGAAAUCCCCGGGCUCAACCUGGGAAUUGCGUUGGAGACUGCAAGGCUAGAAUCUGGCAGAGGGGGGUAGAAUUCCACGUGUAGCAGUGAAAUGCGUAGAGAUGUGGGGGAACACCGAUGGCGAAGGCAGCCCCCUGGGUCAAGAUUGACGCUCAUGCACGAAAGCGUGGGGAGCAAACAGG
rnacentral:rRNA from 1 species